UGGGGAAUUUUGGACAAUGGGGGCAACCCUGAUCCAGCGACGCCGCGUGAAGGAUGAAGGUCUUCGGAUUGUAAACUUCUUUUAGAGGGGAUGAAUGCCUGCGUGAAUAACGCAGGGUGACAGUACUCUUUGAAUAAGCCACGGCUAACUACGUGCCAGCAGCCGCGGUAAUACGUAGGUGGCAAGCGAUACUCGGAAUCACUAGGCGUAAAGCGCAGGUAGGCGGUUUGGUAAGUCUUUUGUGAAAGCUCCCGGCUCAACUGGGAGAGGUCAAGGGAAACUACCGGACUAGAGUGUGGUAGGGGAUACUGGAAUUCCUGGUGUAGCGGUGAAAUGCGUAGAUAUCAGGAGGAAUACCUAUGGCGAAAGCAGGUAUCUGGGCCAUCACUGACGCUGAGCUGCGAAAGCUAGGGGAGCAAACAGGAUUAGAUACCCCUGUAGUCC
rnacentral:rRNA from 1 species